AUAGGCAGUUGGAGAUGAGCAGUGAGCAUUGGUUUGGUUUGCUCUGCCUCACUAUUCUUCAAUAACAACAGACCCAUUGUUAUUGGAGACUGAUGACGUCAGAAGUUUUGGCCAGCUGUAAGUUCUCACACAUAGCCUUUGAUUUCAAAGAAGAAGAAUAAAAGGAUAAUCUGACAGGCACUGCUCCUAACUGCGCUACCCCAAGAAAACGCACUGAGAGAAAACAGUAACAUACAGAGCGGAGGAAAACCCUGGUGACCAUUGGCAGCCAGAUGGAGCAGGGGUGACCCAGCUCAGUCACCCCUGGAUGUUCAGCAGAGAAGAAGCUCCGGCCAUCAGCAGCCACAGACUGAAACCACAGAGACUGGGAGCCAGCAUACGUCCGUCCAUCUUUUAAACUGUGUAUGUCAGAUACUUCGUCAUAG
rnacentral:lncRNA from 1 species